rnacentral:rRNA from 1 species
UACGUAGGUGGCAAGCGUUGUCCGGAUUUACUGGGCGUAAAGAGCGCGCAGGCGGUCGUUUAAGUCGAAUGUGAAAGCCCCCGGCUCAACUGGGGAGGGUCAUUCGAUACUGAUCGACUUGAAGGCAGGAGAGAGAAGUGGAAUUCCCGGCGUAGUGGUGAAAUGCGUAGAUAUCGGGAGGAACACCAGUGGCGAAGGCGACUUCUUGGCCUGUUCUUGACGCUGAGGCGCGAAAGCUGGGGGAGCAAACGGG